ACACGACUACAUUAGAUACCCCCGUAGUCCUAGCCGUAAACGAUACUCGCUAGGUGUCGGCCACGGUGCGACCGUUGUCGGUGCCGUAGGGAAGCCGUGAAGCGAGCCACCUGGGAAGUACGGCCGCAAGGCUGAAACUUAAAGGAAUUGGCGGGGGAGCACCACAACGGGUGGAGCUUGCGGUUUAAUUGGAUUCAACGCCGGAAAUCUUACCGGGACCGACAGCAACAUGAAGGCCAAGCUGAAGACUUUGCCGGAUUAGCUG
rnacentral:rRNA from 1 species